UUAAUUGAAACCAAAAUAGAGGUAUAUUACUGUUAAUAAUAUAAUUGAGACAAUCUCCAAUUAAG
rnacentral:tRNA from 1 species